CACGUAGUUAGCCGGUGCUUCUUUACCCAUUACCGUCACUCACGCUUCGUCACAGGCGAAAGCGGUUUACAACCCGAAGGCCGUCAUCCCGCACGCGGCGUUGCUGCAUCAGGCUUCCGCCCAUUGUACAAUAUUCCCCACUGCUGCCUCCCGUAGGAGUCUGGGCCGUAUCUCAGUCCCAAUGUGGCCGGUCACCCUCUCAGGCCGGCUACCCGUCAAAGCCUUGGUAAGCCACUACCCCACCAACAAGCUGAUAAGCCGCGAGUCCAUCCCCAACCGCCGAAACUUUCCAACCCCACCAUGCAGCAGGAGCUCCUAUCCGGUAUUAGCCCCAGUUUCCUGAAGUUAUCCCAAAGUCAAGGGCAGGUUACUCACGUGUUACUCACCCGUUCGCCACUCGAGCACCCCACAAAAGCAGGGCCUUUCCGUUCGACUUGCAUGUGUUAAGCACGCCGCCAGCGUUCGUCCUGAGCCAGGACAAACUACU
rnacentral:rRNA from 1 species